CCGGAGGUGAUGACAGCCUUCCCCUGAGCCCUGAGGGUCUCUCGUGUUCGUACUGUCUGAUCCGG
rnacentral:snoRNA from 1 species